UACGUAGGUGGCAAGCGUUGUCCGGAAUUAUUGGGCGUAAAGCGCGCGCAGGCGGUCCUUUAAGUCUGAUGUGAAAGCCCACGGCUCAACCGUGGGGGGUCAUUGGAAACUGGGGGACUUGAGUACAGAAGAGGAAAGCGGAAUUCCACGUGUAGCGGUGAAAUGCGUAGAGAUGUGGAGGAACACCCGUGGCGAAGGCGGCUCUCUGGGACGGUACUGACGCUGAGACGCGAAAGCGUGGGGAGCGAACAGG
rnacentral:rRNA from 1 species